GAGAGGCCCAGAGGCAAUAAAAACUGCUAAUUUUUAUACCCAGUGUUAAAAUCCCUGGCUCACUCG
rnacentral:tRNA from 1 species